UACAGAGGUCUCAAGCGUUGUUCGGAUUCAUUGGGUGUAAAGGGUGCGUAGGCGGCGUGGUAAGUCGGGUGUGAAAUCUCGGAGCUUAACUCCGAAACUGCAUUCGAUACUGCCGUGCUUGAGGACUGGAGAGGAGACUGGAAUUUACGGUGUAGCGGUGAAAUGCGUAGAUAUCGUAAGGAAGACCAGUGGCGAAGGCGGGUCUCUGGACAGUUCCUGACGCUGAGGCACGAAGGCCAGGGAAGCAAACGGG
rnacentral:rRNA from 1 species